rnacentral:tRNA from 1 species
GCGCCGGUGGUGUAAAGGCGUAGAGCAUUCCCACCAGGUGAUAGGGAGGUGUGGGUUCGAGUCCCGCCUGGCGCU